UACGGAGGGUGCAAGCGUUAUCCGGAUUCACUGGGCUUAAAGGGUGCGUAGGCGGGCAAUUAAGUCCGUGGUGAAAUACCUGAGCUUAACUUGGGAACUGCCAUGGAUACUAUUUGUCUUGAAUGUCGUGGAGGUUAGCGGAAUAUGUCAUGUAGCGGUGAAAUGCUUAGAUAUGACAUAGAACACCUAUUGCGAAGGCAGCUAACUACGCGAAUAUUGACGCUGAGGCACGAAAGCGUGGGGAUCAAACAGG
rnacentral:rRNA from 1 species